GCUGGGUGCAGUCGUGCACGCCUAUAAUCCCAGCAACUUGGGAGGCUGAGGCAGGAGGAUCACCAGUUUAAAGCCAGCCUCAGCAACUUAGCAAGGCCCUGAGCAACUUAGUGAGACCCUGUCACUA
rnacentral:sRNA from 1 species